rnacentral:rRNA from 1 species
CCAAUAGCGUAUAUUAAAGUUGCUGCAGUUAAAAAGCUCGUAGUUGAAUUUCGGGACCAUCAUGUCGGUCGUGCCUCGGUACGUACUGGCAUUGUUGGUUUCUCCCUUCUGACGAACCAUGAUGUCAUUUAUUUGGUGUUGUGGGAAUCAGGACUGUUACUUUGAAAAAAUUAGAGUGUUUAAAGCAGGCUCACGCUUGAAUACAUUAGCAUGGAAUAAUGAAAUAGGACGUUUGAUUCUAUUUUGUUGGUUUCUAGGAUCGACGUAAUGAUUAAUAGGGAUAGUUGGGGGCAUUAGUAUUCAAUUGUCAGAGGUGAAAUUCUUGGAUUUAUUGAAGACUAACUACUGCGAAAGCAUUUGCCAAGGAUGUUUUCAUUAAUCAAGAACGAAAGUUAGGGGAUCGAAGACGAUCAGAUACCGUCGUAGUCUUAACCAUAAACUAUGCCGACUAGGGAUCGGAUGAUGUUAAUUUUUUAAUGACUCAUUCGGCGCCUUACG